rnacentral:rRNA from 1 species
UAAUACGUAGGGGGCGAGCGUUGUCCGGAUUUACUGGGCGUAAAGCGCGUGUAGGCGGCUGUUUAAGUUGGGUGUGAAAGCCCGGGGCUCAACCCCGGGACGCCGCCCAAGACUGGAUGGCUUGAGGACGGAAGAGGGGAGUGGAAUUCCUGGUGUAGCGGUGAAAUGCGUAGAGAUCAGGAGGAACACCCGUGGCGAAGGCGGCUCCCUGGUCCGUCCCUGACGCUGAGACGCGAAAGCGCGGGGAGCGAACGGGAUUAGAUACCCCGGUAGUCCGCGCCGUAAACGAUGGUCACUAGGUGUGCGUGGUAUCGACCCCACGCGUGCCGGCGCUAACGCAUUAAGUGACCCGCCUGGGGAGUACGGCCGCAAGGUUG